rnacentral:misc_RNA from 1 species
GAAAUGCGAUAAGUAAUGCGAAUUGCAGAAUUCAGUGAAUCAUCGAAUCUUUGAACGCACCUUGCGCUCCUUGGUAUUCCUUGGAGCAUGCCUGUUUGAGUAUCAUGAAAUCUUCAAAGUAAAUCUUUUGUUAACUCAAUUGGUUUCUACUUUGGUAUUGGAGGUCUUUGCAGCUUCACACCUGCUCCUCUUUGUUCAUUAGCUGGAUCUCAGUGUUAUGCUUGGUUCCACUCGGCGUGAUAAGUUAUCUAUCGCUGAGGACACUGUAAAAGGUGGCCAAGGUAAAUACAGAUGAACCGCUUCUAAUAGUCCAUUGACUUGGACAAUACUUUUAUGAUCUGAUCUCAAAUCAGGUAGGACUACCCGCUGAACUUAAGC